CCUGCCUGGGCUUUUUCCUCCCCUGCUGGCUUCACACACCAGGGAGCUCUGUGCUCCGAACCUGAAUCUGGCCCUUCUCCAUGGCCCUCCUCAGGCCAGUGGGACGCUGAGUCUGCAGCCAAGUGUGCUGGGGCGGGGGGGGGGUGUCGCCCUCCGUGUUUGAUGUGCCCUCUGUGUUGGGGGCAGGGGAUGGAGUACAGGUGCCCAGUUGCAUGGCCCAGGUCUGGUAGGGGCCUGCUCCCCACCUCUGUCCCUGGGCAGCACACUGGAACUGUCUGACAGCAUGAGGGCAAUGGUGUGUCAACGGCUGGAACCCAAAGUCUCCUCCUUGACAGGAGUCCCCAGGGCAGGAUGAAGCCACUUAAGGCCAUGCCUGAUUCCCCAGCACUGAGGUGCCUCCAACCCACACAGCCCUGCAAAGGCUGCUGACUGCACCUCUGGGACGCUGAGGCCCUGGGGGCUGGGCUUGGCACGGGCUGACGGAAGCCGGGCACCACACAGGGGACGUUCUUGUGCAGCCCAGCGGGGCUUUGAUGCCGCAACCACACCCUUUCCUUCUGUUGGGGUUGUUUCUAGGCUCUUGUUUAGAAACCCUAGCAAACUGACUUCCGUUCCAGUUCCCCAUGAUCUGCACCCUGCCCAAGUGCUGCCCUCACUUAUCAGAGGCCAGGGUCCUCUUCUCAUUUUCUGGAUGGCUCCAUAGUUCUAGAAGUUAGAACCAGCUAUGUUCUGGAAAGCUGAUCUCUGUGUCCACCAGGCAGACCUGCGUGCUCUGAGCCGCAGCCUGGGGCCUCUGGCUGCUCACAGCUGGCAGAAUGAGAGGAGUCGGGCCCCGAAUGGACUCACUAGGACCGAGCUGCUGCUCAGGUGCCGCUGAGGAGCCGGCCAGAGGGCGACGUGGGGCAGGGUGGGGUCCAGGUGGGAGCACUGGCACGUCAUGUGUCGUCCUGGCAGAGACCUGGGGAACCAAGGAGCAGGUGGGCCAGGAGUCCAGUGAUGGCAGCAGAGGCCAAGGCUGCCAGGGACAAGCCAAGGCAGGCAGAGGAGUGCUCCACAGGAACGGAAGCCCCAGCCCUGUCCCAGGGGAUGUGGUCACUGGGCCUGUGGCCGAGGGUCCUGGCCAUGGCUGAGAGGGUCUGGCUCGUGAAGAAGGAAAGGCAGGCAUUGCUUUUCCUUCUUCAAAACAGUUCCAGGGGUCCCCCAAGGCCUGGAAGGAAACAGGUGGCCUGUGUGCCGGUCAGGUGGGGCCAGGGACAAGAGAGUAGGACACUUUUUUUUUUAGAAAGAGGCUGAAGAGGUCAUUGCUGACACAGGGACUCGAGGCUGUGAAGGGGCAUGACCCUGGAGGGGCCGCUGGCUGGAGGAGGGAGCAUGUCCAGGAAAGGGUCUUUUUUGGAUUAUCCAACCAUCUGGACAACUCAGGGCUGUGCUGGGGACUUGCGGAAACUCAAUGGCUACUGGGGGAUCAGCUGCCCAGUUUAGGGAGCAGAGGCUGCCGUUCCUCCAGAGAUGAGGGGUCCCCCAAGGAGAGCUCCACACUGCUGCAGGCUUGGUGUCUACUCUCCGUGAAGCAGUUCCUCUCAGCUGCCCAAGAGGACUGUGACGUGUGCAGGGAGACCUCGGAAAGAAAGGCAGGGCCAGGGCCAACCAGCACAACGCAGGAAGGCCCACACACCCCAGAAUGGAGGGUCCAGGCGAGGAACUGUCACAGGGGUCUGGGGGUGUGGAGCCAGGCCCUGACCUGAGCCUUGAGGCCCCC
rnacentral:lncRNA from 1 species